AUGCCGAUGAGGAUUUUGCUGUCGGCGCGCCCGAGCCGCGUUCGGUGGUUCCUGGCGAUGCUCUUGUUGGUGGUGGCGGUUGGCUCGCUGCUGCUGGAAGCAGGCGCGCUGGAAUCCUCGGAAAUAAGCUCGAUGUCUCCCCUGGUAUGCAGGAAUCCCCUUCGCUUGCUCUCGCCGACGGCAGUCACCAUGGUGGUGGUCAAGUCGACAGGGACUGGUAUGAAGACUGUUCUUGCGACCGGUUCCAGAGCAAAUCAUCGAUGGUGCUUGAGCUUUGGCGCUCCCGGCGGACAGCCGGCUUGCAGCGCCGCCGCGCCACCGAAUCCUCUGGCCGAAGGGCGGCCAAACCUCUUCCUCCUAGCCUUGAAGCUAUAUGGGAGGCAGUGCUACUCUAGAUCGAUGUUCAUGGCUUGCUGCGGUGAAGAACUCGUCGGACCAAGUGGUGAUGUCCCCGGAGCCGGCGAGUUUGGAGUCGAUCGGGAGUGGCUUGGACCUGAUUGCGUUCCUCUUCAGAUCUUUGGGGUCCUUUCUGCAUAUUUCAGGGACUGCUUUGUAAUUUUCAGUUUGUUGUGUGUCCUGUUGUUCUGGCUUGUACUACGGUAUUGUAAUAUCAAAUAA
rnacentral:rRNA from 1 species